UACAUAUACCCUUACUGGGUAGGUUACCCCUUUUCUGUUCUACCCUUCCUACAUCCCAUGACUUCUUUUUCAGAGUUAUCACCUGCCAUCUGGUGUCUAGCCAAAGAGACCUUACCCAAGGUCUGUUCAAAUGGAUGUACCCAAGUCAAUAAUCCAAGACAAAGGAACAGAACUGCUCAACCAAGCCCUGCCCAAACUCUUGACCCAAAGAAUCUUCAGAUAGAAUUGUGGUGGUGAAGCUCAGGGGUGAGGACGAGAGGGUGGUGGAUCCUAGAAGGAACUUGACAAUCAGAGAUAUCUGGCCCCAACGUAAGCAUAUUACAUCUUUUUUAAGCCCCAAAGGAACGAAAUGGGUAGACUGAAUCCUCCCUGCCCUACACACUGAGAGAUUACAGAGGCCUGAGAGAUAUCAGGGAUGUCCUUCAGGUACCUCAGCA